rnacentral:rRNA from 1 species
UGGAUCCAGACUUUGAUUUGGCUCAGGAUGAACGCUAGCUACAGGCUUAACACAUUGCAAGUCGAGGGGAAACGAUAGAGAAAGCUGCUUUUUCUAGGCGUCGACCGGCGCACGGGUGAGUAACGCGUAUCCAACCUGCCCAUCACUUGGGGAUAACCUUGCGAAAGUAAGACUAAUACCCAAUGACGUCUCUAGAAGACAUCUGAAAGAGAUUAAAGAUUUAUCGGUGAUGGAUGGGGAUGCGUCUGAUUAGCUUGUUGGCGGGGUAACGGCCCACCAAGGCGACGAUCAGUAGGGGUUCUGAGAGGAAGGUCCCCCACAUUGGAACUGAGACACGGUCCAAACUCCUACGGGAGGCAGCAGUGAGGAAUAUUGGUCAAUGGACGAGAGUCUGAACCAGCCAAGUAGCGUGCAGGAUGACGGCCCUAUGGGUUGUAAACUGCUUUUAUAAGGGAAUAAAGUGGGAGUCGUGACUCCUUUUGCAUGUACCUUAUGAAUAAGGACCGGCUAAUUCCGUGCCAGCAGCCGCGGUAAUACGGAAGGUCCGGGCGUUAUCCGGAUUUAUUGGGUUUAAAGGGAGCGUAGGCCGGAGAUUAAGCGUGUUGUGAAAUGUAGACGCUCAACGUCUGCACUGCAGCGCGAACUGGUUUCCUUGAGUACGCACAAAGUGGGCGGAAUUCGUGGUGUAGCGGUGAAAUGCUUAGAUAUCACGAAGAACUCCGAUUGCGAAGGCAGCUCACUGGAGCGCAACUGACGCUGAAGCUCGAAAGUGCGGGUAUCGAACAGGAUUAGAUACCCUGGUAGUCCGCACGGUAAACGAUGGAUGCCCGCUGUUGGUCUGAAUAGGUCAGCGGCCAAGCGAAAGCAUUAAGC